AGCAGCCGCGGUAAUUCCAGCUCCAAUAGCGUAUAUUAAAGUUGUUGCAGUUAAAAAGCUCGUAGUUGAAUUUCGGGAUCAGUACGCCGGUCGUGCCUUCGGUAUGCACUGGUGUCACUGAUUCCUCCCUUCUGAAGAACCGUUAUGCCAUUUAUUUGGUGUGGCGGGGAAUCAGGACUGUUACUUUGAAAAAAUUAGAGUGUUUAAAGCAGGCUCGCGCUUGAAUACAUUAGCAUGGAAUAAUGAAAUAGGACGUUUGAUCUUAUUUUGUUGGUUUCUAGGACAACCGUAAUGAUUAAUAGGGAUAGUUGGGGGCAUUAGUAUUCAAUUGUCAGAGGUGAAAUUCUUGGAUUUAUUGAAGACUAACUACUGCGAAAGCAUUUGCCAAGGAUGUUUUCAUUAAUCAAGAACGAAAGUUAGGGGAUCGAAGACGAUCAGAUACCGUCGUAG
rnacentral:rRNA from 1 species